UGUGGCUAGAGUCUAGUGCACGAUGAUGGAU
rnacentral:piRNA from 1 species